rnacentral:lncRNA from 1 species
GAAAUUAAAGUAAAGGGUAAUUGGAAGGCUAAUAAUAAAAGGGUGGAAAUAAUAAUUAAAGGGGAGUGGGAAGAGAGUCUUGGUUUUAGAUAUAUAAGGAUUCAUUUCAGCACUAAAGAGGAGGAGAAAAAUCUGAGAACCAGAAUUUGAGGGUUUAGGAGAAACAAUCUGUUGAGAAAAAUUGAGAGUUUAAAAGGGAGUUUUGAGAGAGUUCCUAGACAACCUUAAGGAAGUUUGAAAACAUUGAGAAAGAGUGAAUACUGUUCUAUCGAUCCUCCUCAUUAUCUUUCCAAUUUCUAGCUCGAAUUCAAUCCCUUUGCCUGGUUACUUUGAGUAUGUGGGUUUGAGUCUGUUGGUAAAUCAGUUGAUUGCUUAUACUUCAGUACGUAGUUCGUCUUUGAGUUUUGUUAUUCUUUUGAGGCUGUUUUAUCACUUCUGUUUGGUUUUCAAACUGUUCUGGGUAUUGAACGCGAUUGGUUGUUGCUGUUGGAAUUUGUUGGUUAUUCAUACUGCUGUGACUUGUUGUGUUAUUGUUGCUGAGUGCUCUUUCUUCUUCAUGUAUAUUCAUUAUCCAACUACACUUUCGAAUCACUCUAUGAGGUAGCAGUGAGAGGUACAAGUAAAAAAUAGAUGCUCGAAUAGUCGAGUAUUUAGGUUGUAUUUGUAAUUAUGGCUAAAUGAUAGGUGGCUGUACUGUCUGCUUUGUAAUUCAAUAAAGAAUGUGGAC